GCAGUCGUGGCCGAAUGGUUAAGGCGAUGGUCUAGAAAUCCCUUGGGGUCUCCCCGCACAGGUUCGAAUCCUGUCGACUGCG
rnacentral:tRNA from 2 species